AGGAUGGACCUCUGCGACGACCCGGAGAAUACCCACAUCGUUGCGAUGCUCGAGGUCCCAGGCAUGAAGCCCGAACAGCUCUCAGUGCGGAUCGAGGGCGCCCGCCUCAUCGUCGAAGGCGAGCGCACUGGACCCGCGCUCCAUACCCGGAACCAAACCACCACCCAAACCACGCGUGCCUUCCCUCCGCCAGGCUCGGAGCCGAACUCGGCUGCCUCUACCGAUUCCGACGUGGCCGUG
rnacentral:misc_RNA from 1 species